rnacentral:lncRNA from 1 species
GCAAGUUGGAAGUCUGCAGGGAGGAGACUCAGGCAGCAGCUGGAGCUGGGGUCCCAAGCAGAACCUCCUGCUCCUGGGGAACCUCCGCUCUGCUCUUACGACCUGUCAGCUGAUGGAAUGAGUCCCGCCUACGCCGUCACGAUAAUCUUCACUUACAGUCACCAGAUUAGAACCACAACAACCACCCAGGGAACUGCAUGAGAGGCAUGCGUUAGUUUGCUUGACCGUAGCCAUCAGCUCGCCUGUAAAUGUGCCUGAGAAUGUCACGUUGGGCACUGUGAACAUGAACAGUAAAGUCAGCUGAUUAGAAACGUCAGUCACUUCUACAAAUACCUUUGGGACCACACCUCUUCCAGUGUUUGAUCAAACAACUGGGGACCCCUGCUGAGCCAGGCCAACACCCACCACUGACCACCACACCGCUGGAUCCUCGCAGCCCUGGGAGCUGGGCCCCAGGGUUACCCCAUCCUGUGGGGAGGAUGAGACUGAGAGGGGUAAGGAGCUGGGCUGAUGGACCCUCCCCAUCCACCCUGUGGAUGACGACAUUCAGCGAGUGACUUCAACCAGGGGCAGGGCACAAAAACAGAGAGUGUGUCCCUGUGUGUCUGUCAUGCCUGAUCUUGUCCCAGAGGGGGGGAUCUUUGAGGCUGAGGGGCAUUUGGUCAAUGAGCAGGGUGGAGGCUCCUAUCCUUCAAGAACACUUUGAGUGCCUGCUCUGUGCCCGGCCCUGAGGACAGAGCCCCGAGGGAGGCGGGGUUCCCAGGACACGCUGAGGCCCGCCGAGGACUCACCGGUGGGUGAAGCCCGACUCCUCCUCAGUCCCCUCCUAGGAGGCAACACCGUCCUUGGUGCCCUGUGCUCCCUUCCUGAGGCCGUCCCCAGCUGGGAGCUCUGCCCUCACGGGGCGGGGAGAAAGGCUGCUGCUUGGGAAAGGCUGCUGCUGGCACCUGCAACACACAGGACGCUCCGGCACCGGGGACCGUCAGCCAGGGGGGCCACGGUGCCGAGGUGGAGCGGCCCUGGCUAGGGGCUGAUGUACACGCAGGCCCACGGUGUGCUGCUGCACCUCCAGAC